UGGGGAAUAUUGGACAAUGGGCGAAAGCCUGAUCCAGCCAUGCCGCGUGUGUGAAGAAGGUCUUCGGAUUGUAAAGCACUUUAAGUUGGGAGGAAGGGCAGUAAGCGAAUACCUUGCUGUUUUGACGUUACCGACAGAAUAAGCACCGGCUAACUCUGUGCCAGCAGCCGCGGUAAUACAGAGGGUGCAAGCGUUAAUCGGAAUUACUGGGCGUAAAGCGCGCGUAGGUGGUUCGUUAAGUUGAAUGUGAAAGCCCCGGGCUCAACCUGGUAAAUGCAUCCGAAACUGGCGGGCUAGAGUAGGGCAGAGGGAGGAGGAAUUUCCUGUGUAGCGGUGAAAUGCGUAGAUAUAGGAAAGAACACCAGUGGCGAAGGCGAGCACCUGGGCUCAUACUGACACUGAGGUGCGAAAGCGUGGGGAGCAAACAGG
rnacentral:rRNA from 1 species